rnacentral:rRNA from 1 species
UACGAAGGGGGCUAGCGUUGUUCGGAAUUACUGGGCGUAAAGCGCGCGCAGGCGGCUAUCCAAGUCAGUGGUGAAAGCCCGGAGCUCAACUCCGGAACUGCCAUUGAAACUGUUUAGCUGGAGUAUGAGAGAGGUGAGUGGAAUUCCCAGUGUAGAGGUGAAAUUCGUAGAUAUUGGGAAGAACACCGGUGGCGAAGGCGACUCACUGGACACGUAUUGACGCUGAGGUGCGAAAGCGUGGGGAGCAAACAGG